rfam:Canis lupus familiaris chromosome X, whole genome shotgun sequence.
GGGGGGAGUGCUGGAUCUUGGACUGUGUCCCCCAGCGCUCUGGGCUCUGGGGCCUGCACCGCUGGAAUUGCGCUCCCGGGCCCCGCAGCCCCCU